rnacentral:rRNA from 1 species
ACUCAAAGGAAUUGACGGGGGCCCGCACAAGCGGUGGAGCAUGUGGUUUAAUUCGACGCAACGCGAAGAACCUUACCGGGGCUUGACAUCUUUCUGCCAGCCUGGGAAACCAGGUCUUCUUCCUUCGGGAAGACGGAAAGACAGGUGGUGCAUGGUUGUCGUCAGCUCGUGUCGUGAGAUGUUGGGUUAAGUCCCACAACGAGCGCAACCCUUGUCCUUAGUUGCUAGUCUGUUUACAGAAGUACUUUAAGGAGACCGCCGUAGAUAAUACGGAGGAAGGUGGGGAUGACGUCAAAUCCUCAUGCCCCUUACGUCCCGGGCUACACACGUGCUACAAUGGUCUGUACAGAGGGUAGCCAAGAAGCAAUUCGGAGCCAAUCCCAAAAAGCAGGCCCCAGUUCGGAUUGGAGGCUGCAACUCGCCUCCAUGAAGUCGGAAUCGCUAGUAAUCGCGGAUCAGCACGCCGCGGUGAAUCCGUUCCCGGGCCUUGUACACACCGCCCGU